AGAGUUUGAUCCUGGCUCAGAAUGAACGCUGGCGGCGUGCCUAACACAUGCAAGUCGAACGAGAAAACGGGCUUCGGCCUGUGAGUAAAGUGGCAUACGGGUGAGUAACACGUGGGUAACCUGCCCGGAGGUGGGGGACAACUCUUCGAAAGGGGAGCUAAUACCGCAUAACAUCCCGAGCACUUCGGUGCACGGGAUCAAAGUUUGCCUCUGUUUCAUGCAAACGCCACCGGAGGGACCCGCGCCCCAUUAGCUAGAUGGUGAGGUAAUGGCUCACCAUGGCGACGAUGGGUAGCCGGCCUGAGAGGGUGAUCGGCCACACUGGAACUGAGAUACGGUCCAGACUCCUACGGGAGGCAGCAGUGAGGAAUUUUGCGCAAUGGGGGAAACCCUGACGCAGCGACGCCGCGUGGAGGACGAAGGCCUUCGGGUCGUAAACUCCUGUCAAGAGGGACGAAUCCCGGUUGGAUGAAUAAGUCGACCGGUUGACGGUACCUCUGAAGGAAGCCCCGGCUAACUCCGUGCCAGCAGCCGCGGUAAUACGGAGGGGGCUAGCGUUGUUCGGAAUUAUUGGGCGUAAAGGGCGCGUAGGCGGUCAAGCAAGUUGGAGGUGAAAUCCCUCGGCUCAACCGGGGAACUGCCCCCAAUACUGCUUGACUUGAGUCCCGGAGAGGGUAGCGGAAUUCCCAGUGUAGCGGUGAAAUGCGUAGAUAUUGGGAGGAACAUCAGUGGCGAAGGCGGCUACCUGGACGGGUACUGACGCUGAGGCGCGAAAGCGUGGGGAGCAAACAGGAUUAGAUACCCUGGUAGUCCACGCUGU
rnacentral:rRNA from 1 species